AUUGAACGCUGGCGGCAGGCCUAACACAUGCAAGUCGAGCGGAUGAAGGGAGCUUGCUCCUGGAUUCAGCGGCGGACGGGUGAGUAAUGCCUAGGAAUCUGCCUGGUAGUGGGGGAUAACGUCCGGAAACGGGCGCUAAUACCGCAUACGUCCUGAGGGAGAAAGAGGGGGAUCUUCGGACCUCACGCUAUCAGAUGAGCCUAGGUCGGAUUAGCUAGUUGGUGGGGUAAAGGCCUACCAAGGCGACGAUCCGUAACUGGUCUGAGAGGAUGAUCAGUCACACUGGAACUGAGACACGGUCCAGACUCCUACGGGAGGCAGCAGUGGGGAAUAUUGGACAAUGGGCGAAAGCCUGAUCCAGCCAUGCCGCGUGUGUGAAGAAGGUCUUCGGAUUGUAAAGCACUUUAAGUUGGGAGGAAGGGCAGUAAGUUAAUACCUUGCUGUUUUGACGUUACCAACAGAAUAAGCACCGGCUAACUUCGU
rnacentral:rRNA from 1 species